CAACUUGUUUGGAAUUACAGAACAUCCCAGAAGGUGAUUGGCAUUGUCCAUAUUGCAAAGAUAAAUUUGGCUCUGGCAGAAAAGCACCUACUAGGGAUUCUUCAACCACUAUGAAGCCAAUUACGAUUAGGUUGACAAGAGUUGUCGGGGCACCAGCAAUCCAAAUAGGUGGUUGUGCUGUUUGCAGGGCCCAUGACUUCAUUGACAAAACAUUUGAUGAGUGAACAGUUUUGCUCUGUGACCAAUGUGAGAAAGAGUUCCAUGUUGUGUGUUUGAGGGAAUGUGGACUGUGUGAUUCGAAAGAAAUUCCCAAAGGCAAGUGGUUUUGCUGUGAGGACUGCAAUAGGAUCCAUUGCGCUUCCACAGAACUUAAUUCUCCGUGGAGCAGAGAUGAUUCCAAGUUCAGUUUCAGGUGUGAUAAAGAGGAAGCUCAUAGAGAAAGGCCUAGUUGAUGCAACCGAAGAUAAUGUGCAUUGGCAACUCAUAAGCGGGAAAGACGACUUUCCG